AGCGGGACAUGGGAGCACCCGCACGCUUUUAUCCCCGCCCUGCUCCGGAGCUCGCUUGGCGGACGAGGCCGACGCCCCCUAGCGUGCGCGCGCGCGCGAGCGAAUUGGCGGCCUCGAAGGGGCGGCGUGGGGUCUCCGCCCACCUCGCGGAGCAGGAGGACACCAGCGGCUCCCUGCGAAACGUGCGGAGCAGCACUAGUCUCCGAGGGGUGGGGGGCGAACGAGCGGGGAGGGGGUCGGAAAUAACUUUCCGCCCUCCGAGGGGGCCAUAGGAGCCAACCCCCCCAUAAAAUAUUUGAGGGGGCCGGACCACCCCAAAGUUUAUGGGCAUUGCCAUUCAAAUAGUGUGCUUGCACCUCAUCAUGUGAUCGAUUAUGCGGGGCGGGGCUUACCUGCCCCCCUCUAUUUUAUUCAAGUUGGCAUCCCUGGAGAGGGCCCUCAGAGUUUGGAAAAAGAGAUCCUAUUAUGAUGAUCGAGCUCCAAAGUCCUUUCAGAGUGCCUUUUCAGAGGUGUUGUUUGGCCGGGCUGGUAUCCCAGCUGGGUGCGGGGCACCUGGGAGGGCUUUCCCAAGCGGGCUCCCAUCCAGGCACCUACAGACUCAAUCUAGACCUGCUGAGUUUUCACUUUACUGCAUCUUGUCCCUUCAGAACAUGCCCUGAGUUCCAGGAUUGUGAUGUGGCACAACAAAUCUUCCAAAGAGGGCUGAUAGUGAUGACAGCAUUACAUUUUUACGUAUACUGUAUAUGAAGAUAUAUACAGAGAGAGAAAAUUAUACAUGGAAUUAUGGCUUUUGGUGUGGAAAGCAGCUAUAAAAUACGUAUUUGAACAAUGCCAGUUAGGUUUACGUGGUUUCAAACUACCUGGUGCUAUUAAACACUAAAACAGAUUUUUCUCUUUACCUGUAUUCACUGUCCCAUAGGUAAUUAUGUAGCAUUUCCUGAAGUAGUUACGCAAGUUCUGCUCUGGGGGCUUUGCUGGCAAUGGGAGUUUAUUGACCAAUUGGAUGUUUUGCAGAUAAGACAGGUGGAAGGAAGAGCUGCUGCCACUACUGUGUGGUGUUAUAAACCUCACCACUUUCACUUCCUAUCUAAAUUGCCAGACAGCUGCUCUUGGGGGUUUCCUGCCCUCCAUGACCAGAGGCUGGAUCUACAGUGCAUUGAUGGCACAGCGCAAACACAAUCCUUCUGUUCUUUGGGAUGUUAAUAAUAGCUUCAAGUGAGAGCUGGACCAUAGAGAAGACUGAUCACUGAAGAAUCAAUGCUUUUGAAUUAUGGUGCUGGAGGAGACU